GGGUUGUGAGGUUAAGCGACCAAGCGUACACGGUGGAUGCCCUGGCAGUCAGAGGCGAUGAAGGACGUGCUAAUCUGCGAAAAGCGCCGGUAAGGUGAUAUGAACCGUUAUAACCGGCGAUGUCCGAAUGGGGAAACCCAGUGUGACUCGUCACACUAUCAUUAACUGAAUCCAUAGGUUAAUGAGGCGAACCGGGGGAACUGAAACAUCUAAGUACCCCGAGGAAAAGAAAUCAACCGAGAUUCCCCCAGUAGCGGCGAGCGAACGGGGAGGAGCCCAGAGCCUGAAUCAGCAUGUGUGUUAGUGGAAGCGUCUGGAAAGGCGCGCGAUACAGGGUGACAGCCCCGUACACAAAAGCGCAUAUGCUGUGAGCUCGAUGAGUAGGGCGGGACACGUGGUAUCCUGUCUGAAUAUGGGGGGACCAUCCUCCAAGGCUAAAUACUCCUGACUGACCGAUAGUGAACCAGUACCGUGAGGGAAAGGCGAAAAGAACCCCGGCGAGGGGAGUGAAACAGAACCUGAAACCGUGUACGUACAAGCAGUGGGAGCCUCUCUUUAUGGGGGGUGACUGCGUACCUUUUGUAUAAUGGGUCAGCGACUUAUAUUCUGUAGCAAGGUUAACCGCAUAGGGGAGCCGAAGGGAAACCGAGUCUUAACCGGGCGUUAAGUUGCAGGGUAUAGACCCGAAACCCGGUGAUCUAGCCAUGGGCAGGUUGAAGGUUGGGUAACACUAACUGGAGGACCGAACCGACUAAUGUUGAAAAAUUAGCGGAUGACCUGUGGCUGGGGGUGAAAGGCCAAUCAAACCGGGAGAUAGCUGGUUCUCCCCGAAAGCUAUUUAGGUAGCGCCUCGUGAAUUCAUCUCCGGGGGUAGAGCACUGUUUCGGCUAGGGGGCCAUCCCGGCUUACCAACCCGAUGCAAACUGCGAAUACCGGAGAAUGUUAUCACGGGAGACACACGGCGGGUGCUAACGUCCGUCGUGAAGAGGGAAACAACCCAGACCGCCAGCUAAGGUCCCAAAGUCAUGGUUAAGUGGGAAACGAUGUGGGAAGGCCCAGACAGCCAGGAUGUUGGCUUAGAAGCAGCCAUCAUUUAAAGAAAGCGUAAUAGCUCACUGGUCGAGUCGGCCUGCGCGGAAGAUGUAACGGGGCUAAACCAUGCACCGAAGCUGCGGCAGCGACACUUUAGUGUUGUUGGGUAGGGGAGCGUUCUGUAAGCCGUUGAAGGUGUCCUGUGAGGGGUGCUGGAGGUAUCAGAAGUGCGAAUGCUGACAUAAGUAACGAUAAAGCGGGUGAAAAGCCCGCUCGCCGGAAGACCAAGGGUUCCUGUCCAACGUUAAUCGGGGCAGGGUGAGUCGACCCCUAAGGCGAGGCCGAAAGGCGUAGUCGAUGGGAAACGGGUUAAUAUUCCCGUACUUGGUGUUACUGCGAAGGGGGGACGGAGAAGGCUAUGUUGGCCGGGCGACGGUAGUCCCGGUUUAAGCGUGUAGGCUGGUUUUCCAGGCAAAUCCGGAAAAUCAAGGCUGAGGCGUGAUGACGAGGCACCACGGUGCUGAAGCAACAAAUGCCCUGCUUCCAGGAAAAGCCUCUAAGCAUCAGGUAACAUCAAAUCGUACCCCAAACCGACACAGGUGGUCAGGUAGAGAAUACCAAGGCGCUUGAGAGAACUCGGGUGAAGGAACUAGGCAAAAUGGUGCCGUAACUUCGGGAGAAGGCACGCUGACACGUAGGUGAAGUGAUUUACUCAUGGAGCUGAAGUCAGUCGAAGAUACCAGCUGGCUGCAACUGUUUAUUAAAAACACAGCACUGUGCAAACACGAAAGUGGACGUAUACGGUGUGACGCCUGCCCGGUGCCGGAAGGUUAAUUGAUGGGGUCAGCGCAAGCGAAGCUCCUGAUCGAAGCCCCGGUAAACGGCGGCCGUAACUAUAACGGUCCUAAGGUAGCGAAAUUCCUUGUCGGGUAAGUUCCGACCUGCACGAAUGGCGUAAUGAUGGCCAGGCUGUCUCCACCCGAGACUCAGUGAAAUUGAACUCGCUGUGAAGAUGCAGUGUACCCGCGGCAAGACGGAAAGACCCCGUGAACCUUUACUAUAGCUUGACACUGAACAUUGAGCCUUGAUGUGUAGGAUAGGUGGGAGGCUUUGAAGCGUGGACGCCAGUCUGCGUGGAGCCGACCUUGAAAUACCACCCUUUAAUGUUUGAUGUUCUAACGUGGACCCGUAAUCCGGGUUGCGGACAGUGUCUGGUGGGUAGUUUGACUGGGGCGGUCUCCUCCUAAAGAGUAACGGAGGAGCACGAAGGUUGGCUAAUCCUGGUCGGACAUCAGGAGGUUAGUGCAAUGGCAUAAGCCAGCUUGACUGCGAGCGUGACGGCGCGAGCAGGUGCGAAAGCAGGUCAUAGUGAUCCGGUGGUUCUGAAUGGAAGGGCCAUCGCUCAACGGAUAAAAGGUACUCCGGGGAUAACAGGCUGAUACCGCCCAAGAGUUCAUAUCGACGGCGGUGUUUGGCACCUCGAUGUCGGCUCAUCACAUCCUGGGGCUGAAGUAGGUCCCAAGGGUAUGGCUGUUCGCCAUUUAAAGUGGUACGCGAGCUGGGUUUAGAACGUCGUGAGACAGUUCGGUCCCUAUCUGCCGUGGGCGCUGGAAGACUGAGGGGGGCUGCUCCUAGUACGAGAGGACCGGAGUGGACGCAUCACUGGUGUUCGGGUUGUCAUGCCAAUGGCACUGCCCGGUAGCUAAAUGCGGAAAAGAUAAGUGCUGAAAGCAUCUAAGCACGAAACUUGCCCCGAGAUGAGUCUUCCCUGAGACUUUGAGUCUCCUGAAGGAACGUUAAAGACGAUGACGUUGAUAGGCCGGGUGUGUAAGCGCAGCGAUGCGUUGAGCUAACCGGUACUAAUGAACCGUGAGGCUUAACCUUACAACGCCGAAGCUGUU
rnacentral:rRNA from 1 species